UACAGAGGGUGCAAGCGUUGUUCGGAAUUAUUGGGCGUAAAGCGCGCGCAGGCGGUCUUCCAAGUCAGUGGUGAAAGCCCGGAGCUCAACUCCGGAACUGCCAUUGAAACUGUUGGACUUGAGUAUGAGAGAGGUGAGUGGAAUUCCCAGUGUAGAGGUGAAAUUCGUAGAUAUUGGGAAGAACACUGGUGGCGAAGGCGGCUCACUGGCUCAUUACUGACGCUGAGACGCGAAAGCGUGGGGAGCGAACAGG
rnacentral:rRNA from 1 species